rnacentral:rRNA from 1 species
UACGUAGGGGGCGAGCGUUGUCCGGAAUCAUUGGGCGUAAAGCGCGUGUAGGCGGCUCGGUAAGUCUGCUGUGAAAGUCCAGGGCUCAACCCUGGGAUGCCGGUGGAUACUGGCGAGCUCGAGUCCGGAAGAGGCGAGUGGAAUUCCUGGUGUAGCGGUGAAAUGCGCAGAUAUCAGGAGGAACACCAAUGGCGAAGGCAGCUCGCUGGGACGUGACUGACGCUGAGACGCGAAAGCGUGGGGAGCAAACAGG